GAGUUUGAUCAUGGCUCAGAACGAACGCUGGCGGCAGGCCUAAAACAUGCAAGUCGAGCGCCCAGCAAUGGGAGCGGCGGACGGGUGAGUAACACGUGGGAAUGUACCUUUCGGUUCGGAACAACCCAGGGAAACUUGGGCUAAUACUGGAUACGCCCUUACGGGGAAAGAUUUAUCGCCGAAAGAUCAGCCCGCGUUGGAUUAGCUAGUUGGUGAGGUAACGGCCCACCAAGGCGACGAUCCAUAGCUGGUUUGAGAGAACGACCAGCCACACUGGGACUGAGACACGGCCCAGACUCCUACGGGAGGCAGCAGUUGGGAAUCUUGGACAAUGGGGGAAACCCUGAUCCAGCCAUGCCGCGUGAGUGAUGAAGGCCUU
rnacentral:rRNA from 1 species